AUGGAAGGGUGGGCAGCCGCAAGGGUUCUUCGGAGAAUCCUUGAGGAAAGUCCGAACUCCACGGAGCAGCCCGCUUCCUAACGGGAAGGCAGCGAGCCCCGAUGGGGCAAGCUGACGGAAAGUGCCACAGAGAACAGUCUGCCAAUCCGGCUUGCGAACCGCAAGCGUCACGGAGGCGAUGGUGAAACGGUGGGGUAAGAGCCCACCAGCACUCUGGGCGACCAGAGUGGCUUGGCAAACCCCGGGCGGAGCAAGGUCAAAUAGUGAAGCAUUGGGGAAACCCAGCCGAGUGGCUCCAUCGGUAACCCUUUCGGGUUGUGCUUCUGGGUAGACCGCUUGAGGGCAUUGGUGACAAUGCCCCCAGAUAAAUGGCUGCCUCCACCAUUUUUUGGUGCAGACAGAAUUCGGCUUAUAACCCUUUCAUCUGA
rnacentral:RNase_P_RNA from 1 species